rnacentral:rRNA from 1 species
CCUACGGGAGGCAGCAGUAAGGAAUAUUGGUCAAUGGACGCAAGUCUGAACCAGCCAUGCCGCGUGCAGGAUGACGGCCCUCUGGGUUGUAAACUGCUUUUGUACGGGAAGAAACCUCUCUACGUGUAGAGAGCUGACGGUACCGUAAGAAUAAGGACCGGCUAACUUCGUGCCAGCAGCCGCGGUAAUACGAAGGGUCCAAGCGUUAUCCGGAUUUAUUGGGUUUAAAGGGUGCGUAGGCGGCUUAUUAAGUCAGUGGUGAAAGACUUCAGCUUAACUGAAGAACUGCCAUUGAUACUGAUGAGCUUGAAUAUACUUGAGGUGGGCGGAAUGUGUCAUGUAGCGGUGAAAUGCUUAGAUAUGACACAGAACACCGAUUGCGAAGGCAGCUCGCUAAAGUAUGAUUGACGCUGAGGCACGAAAGCGUGGGGAGCAAACAGGAUUAGAUACCCUGGUAGUCCACGCCCUAAACGUUGAUAACUCGAUGUGUGNGAUAUACAGUACGCGUCCGACGACGAACGACAUUAAGUUAAUUACCUACCUACGGAAGGUAACGGUACGGCGAAGAAGUUAGUAAACGUUAAAUUAAGUAAGUUAGUACGGACGUAGAGACGUUAGACCGACGGACGACGACGAGGGGAGGGAGGGAG